AAUUAAAAAAAAACUAUUUUAAAAAAUUUUACUUCAAAUUUGUACUUUAAAUAGAACGCAGUUUACAAUUUGUUAAAGGAGAAUUGGUUCCAAAUUUUUAAGAUUUUGAAGAGAGAGACAUCUCGGUGAAUUCGUCAAAAAGAUAGCAAUGUACCAUGGAGUUCCUUUAGCAAGUAGAAUUUGGUUAACCGUCGACCAGUUCUAUAAAUACCGAUCGCAGAUUAUGUACGGGUUAACGCACUUCAUAUUGAUUUCUUGUGAAUUUUUACAUCACCUAUCAUCCAUUGAUAAGUUCUAUUAAAAUAUUCCGACCAGAGUGUACAUACAUAAAUGCCGAAUCACAGCUCUGCAGGCAACAGCUGCUGCAACAAUGAGGACUAUUGCGACCAUUGAUGCCUCUAAAGCGAUUGCUGCAAUCUUCAUAGCAUCGAUCGCCAGGAUGCCGAUGUACGUACGUCAUUAUGAUGGCGAUCUUAGAACAACGUUGUUUGCUGUGAUCGUUCGUUUUUUCCUGACGCAGACGAACCAAAGAUGGAUUGUGGUCUGGCUAUCUGGAAGUGCAAGAGCGACAAACAUACACAAAUUAGCAUUUAUUUCCAGGCGAUCACAAUCGAUGAAUACUAAUUGCCGGACACAGCAUUUGUAAAGUGAUCGUUCAUCGGCCUUCGUCGUCCAACAGUUGGUCAGCAGCUCCCAGCUGGGAAUCACAAAGAAACCAUAUUGACAAACGUGUGGAAAAUAAGAACUAUAGAGUUCGCAAACAGAGUGAAUGGAAAUGGAGAGAACUGAAUUUAUUAUUGUCCCCGUCAUUGGGAAUUUCGAGUGCCAGGAAUAUUAUUAAGUGCAACGGAUUCAAGAGGGCUUAGUUUCUUUGCAAAAUUCAGCAGUUGUCGCAUCGGUAUAUGCGGAAAAGCGCAGAUCAUGGAGUCUGUAAACGCGGCGUCUCCUUUUCAGAAGAACAAAAAGCUUUCCUCCCAGCAGUGUUCCAUUCAUUUGUGAUUUGGUUUUGUUGCAGCCAUUGUGCUUGCGCUACGAACCGGGAUCCAAUAAGAGAACGACGUGCAGUCAUGCAGACACGCGACUUAUAUGGCGCGAAUAACCGUGAUCACGGCGCUACAUACCGACUGGUUUACACUGGUUUACUACCGUGUUGCACGUUGUCAUAACUAACGAUGAUCGUGAAAAUUAACAAAAAGCGCAAACAGAAGAAUCUGCCACGUGAAAGCAGACGGGGCAUUGUUUACCAUUAUGUUGCAAGUAGAGUAUGAGUGCCAUAUAGCGUAAGAAAGCCAUUAAGAACGUACAAGGUAAACAUUAGCGCCGCCAGUUGCAGGUUGGUUCCACGCUGUGACUCAGUGGCUGGCGAGUGCUUUGGAUUUUCCCCUAAUAUGGUGCAUACCAAUGUAGUGGUCGCCAAACAGCUUGCCAUUGCAUUAAUGGCUGCGGCGGCGACCCACUGCACAAAUAUGGCCGCGUUCCGCAGGGAAUCGGCGCUUAGAAUUACUGUCUCCUCGAUUUCUGAAACAGGCGUCGUUUUUGUCAGCCUUCGUUUAUAAAUAUUAUUUUUUAAUUUCUCAGCUCUGAAUGUCUAUUGUUGGCUUAUCGCCUUAAAGUGUUCGCAAUGAUCAAUGAGCGUUGCAUGCGUCUGGCAUUUGGCAUCCAGAGUUAAAUGUGACCAAUCGGGAACUAACUAUUAGAUCAACUAAUGCGGAAACCUUCCAAGCAAAAUAAAUAUAUAUAUGCGUUUGUAGAGAUACGUGCCUUCAAUUGGUCAAGCUGUCGCGCGUAAAUCUUUCAUUUCUUUAAAGUGAUGUGCGAAAUUGAUGGAAGUGUCAAUGGGAAUGUUUCUCGCGUUUUAUGAUUGACUAUAGCGCUGGGAUGCCUGUCACACGAUCAGAUGUCAAUAUGUCUCUAAUCAGCACUUGGUGAUUGGUUGUUUGCCAAAGCUAUCGAUUCUGGCGCUUGUUUGCUUUGGGCACGGUGUGUGUUUGAUCCGUGUGAUAGACCGCAGAGUUGCAUAUACUUUCAUUGGUGGGUAUAUACAGUUUCUGAGUACAUAUGUAGGUCUAGGAAACAGUGAAAUAGACAGUGCCAGAGUCCAUUCUACCCAGUGUGGGCUGGUAAGAUUUUGUAUAAAUAUUGGUAAUUAUGCCUCAUUAAAUAAGGUUGGUAAGCGAAUAGAUUCCGUAACCCGCCUCAAUAGAAACUGAUGAUUCUAUUCAAUUUUUUUUAUUGUUUGGCUAUUGUACUAAGGAGCAGAACUAGCGUAAGAUUUAAAACACAAGAUUUUUUCAUAAUUUGUUUGGUUAUACUACCUUUAAAAAUAACAUUAAUUUUAAAAUCGAUAUCUUAAAUAGUUUUUGAGUUACAGCCUUCUGAAGUGUAACCGUACAGUUUAAUCAACUCCACAGAAAACUACUUUAAACGCGUUUUUUUCGAACCUACAUUUUUCAAAUUUGCUUAAGUAAUUACUAGUAGGUACACGUUCCGAUCAUUAUCAAAAUUAUUCAGCUUUUGUAUCCAGUUGUCCUUUUAAUGAUCUUCCAUGCAUGCCAAAAACGAUUCAUAACAGUAGAAUUCAACUUUUUUUUUUAAACACUGUCAGUUUUGGACUUAUUUUUUACUUCUAAUAGAGAUCUGUUUUAGGUUUCAUCUACGGAGAAGACCGAAACCACUGGAUGAAUAGAGGGCCUAAUUUUUUCUUCAAAUUUUUACUGUGUUUUCUUAAAAUAUUUAUAAAUAUACCGUUAAAUUUGAAAAAA